rnacentral:rRNA from 1 species
GCCUAAAGCGUCCGUAGCCGGCUCUGUUAGUUUUCGGUUAAAUCCAUAUGCUCAACAUAUGGGCCGCCGGGAAUACUGCAAAGCUAGGGAGUGGGAGAGGUAGACGGUACUCCGUAGGAAGGGGUAAAAUCCUUUGAUCUAUGGAUGACCACCAGUGGCGAAGGCGGUCUACCAGAACACGUUCGACGGUGAGGGAUGAAAGCUGGGGGAGCAAACCGGAUUAGAUACCCGGGUAGUCCCAGCUGUAAACUAUGCAAACUCAGUGAUGCAUUGGCUUGUGGCCAGUGCAGUGCCGCAGAGAAGUCGUUAAGUUUGCCGCCUGGGAAGUACGUACGCAAGUAUGAAACUUAAAGGAAUUGGCGGGGGAGCACCACAAGGGGUGAAGCCUGCGGUUCAAUUGGAGUCAACGCCAGAAAUCUUACCCGGAGAGACAGCAGAAUGAAGGUCAAGUUGAAGCCUUUACCAGACAAGCUGAGAAGUGGUGCAUGGCCGUCGCCAGCUCGUGCCGUGAGGUGUCCUGUUAAGUCAGGUAACGAGCGAGAUCCUUGCCUCUAGUUGCUACCAUUACUCUCAGGAGUAGUGGGGCGAAUUAGCGGGACUGCCGUAGUUAAUACGGAGGAAGGAGAGGGCCACGGCAGGUCAGUAUGCCCCGAA